CCCUACGGGGUGCAGCAGGCAUUUGCUCUCUAUCAGUCGUUUUAUCGUUAUGGAUCAUUUUCUGCGACACUUCCUCACUUUCAAAAUGCCCCCAAACUCUACGAAAAAAUGAUAGCGUCUGCAUCUUUUUCCCUCUACCCAUUACAAAUACCUGCGAGCAGUGAAAGUACGAUUCGAUAUCUUCUCGAGACAGACGACCACGAUCUGAUUGAGUCUGUCUUGAUCAGUAUGAAAACAAGAAAUACGGUGUGCGUUUCAUCACAAAUCGGGUGCCGCACGGGCUGUCGUUUUUGUGCGACAGGAAGAAUGGGUUUUUGUCGGAAUCUUUUUGCUCAUGAGAUUGUGCAACAAUUUUUCACCGCGCGUUUUGUGAUCGGGAAAAAAGUACAAAACGUUGUCUUUAUGGGAAUUGGCGGGAGAGC
rnacentral:rRNA from 1 species